AAAGUACUCCCUCCAUCCCAAAAUUCUUGUCUUAGAUUUGUCUAGAUACGGAUGUAUCAAGUCACAUUUUAGUAUUAGAUACAUCCGUAUCUAGAUACAUCCAUAUCUAGACAAAUCUAAGACAAGAAAUUUGGGACAGAGGGAGUAGUUG
rnacentral:pre_miRNA from 1 species